CCUGGCUCCUAUAUAAACCACAGGCAGGAGGUCAGGCAGCAGUUCUCUACCAGCAGCCCAGGAGGAGAGAGCUCUUGUUCAUGUUAUAAAGGAGAGGCCUGAGGAAGGAGCUGCAUCUUAUACUGCAGAGAGAGAAAGGAUCCCUGGUGCACUCUUGAAGGAUCUGGAUUUCUCUUGGAUGAAACAAGCAACUAACAACCAAAGAUCAGAGUAAGAGUAGACAUAGUUAAGCCCCUUCUGGUGGCCAUGUUACAGUUUUUUGACCCUUUUCACUGUAGCUGAAAUCAUGGAGGUUUCUGUCCCAAGUUUGGAGGUCAAGAAUUCCUCUGUUGAUUGGAAGGACAAUUCUUACAGGCCCUGAUGCCAAUAAAGUAUGGAACAGUCCGUGCAAGUUUAUUGUAUCUAG